AAUAACCUAACGGUUGAACCAGCAAUUUGGAAGAAUGUAUAGCAAUAGCUAAUUGCAUAUUAUCAUGCAAUAUCGAUUUAAUUGAAUAAAGUUCUGAGUAAACUUAGAUAAUGACUUAAUUUGCUCACAUGUCUUGACUAAAAUACGUGCCAGCAGUCGCGGUAAGACGUAAAAGACUAGUGUUAUUCAUCUUUAGCAGGUUUAAAGAGUAUUUAGACGGCAAAUCGAGCCAUAAUAGGUACUAGUUUGCUAGGGUUACUUAUGAAGGGGCUAAAAAGUACUAAAGGAGUAGAGAUAAAAUGCUAGUAUACCUUUUUUCAAAAGAAUUUAUAUGGCACUGGUAAAGGCGAAAGCAUCCCCUUAUGUGAUAACUGACGUUAAAAGACGAAGGCUUUGAGUUGCGAAUAGGAUUAGAUACCCUAGUAGUCGAAGCAGAGAAUGAUGAGUGUCAUAAAUUGGAAUAAUUUUUUAAUUUAUAAAUGAAAGUGCAAGCACUCCACCUUAAGAGUAAUGUGGCAACACCGAAAUUGAAAUCAUUAGACCGUUUCUGAAACCAGUAGUGAAGUAUGUUGUUUAAUUUGAUAAUCCGCAAAAAACCUUACCAUAACUUGAAUAUUUAUAUUUAUAUAUACUUACAAGCGUUGCACGGCUGUCUUAAGUUAAUGUCGUGAGAAUUUGGUUCGUUCCAUUAAAUUGACGAAAACCCUCGUUCUACUUUCAUGUAAAAUGGUUCACCGUUAUAUUGGAUAUGAUUAUAGGGAAGAAGACAAGUCAUCAUGGCCUGAAUGUUGU
rnacentral:rRNA from 1 species